rnacentral:rRNA from 1 species
AUUGAACGCUGGCGGCCGGCCUAACACAUGCAAGUCGAGCGAGCGGCGGACGGGUGAGUAAUGUAUGGGGACUGCCCGAUAGAGGGGGAUAACUACUGGCAACGGUGGCUAAUACCGCAUCCUAUCGGAUAACCCCUUUGGUAUUAGCUCGUGGGUGGGUUAAAGGCUCACCUAGGCGACGAGCUCUAGCUGGUCUGAGAGGAUGAUCAGCCACACUGGGACUGAGACACGGCCCAGACUCCUACGGAGGCAGCAGUGGGGAAUAUUGCACAAUGGGCGCAAGCCUGAUGCAGCCAUGCCGCGUGUAUGAAGAAGGCCUUAGGGUUGUAAAGUACUUUCAGCGGGGAGGCGUUACCCGCAGAAGAAGCACCGGCUAACUCCGUGCCAGCAGCCGCGGUAAUUC